AGAGCAGGCAGUAACCCUUAAUAACCUUGGGUAAUCUGCUUGUUUAUGAAAUCCUCCAUACAAAAACAGAAAGAAGCAGAAUUUCCUAGCGCGAGGGUGAUCCCAGGAGCUUGCACUCUAUUCUUUUCCCUGCAUGGCUGAACUUGAUUAUGUUGUUUUGUUUCAGGCCAAGCCUAUGAUCGCUGCUGAACGGGGAGGAAUGACAGAGAAGUUUGUGCAGAAGUUGCCUAUAUACCCCUAUGAUGGUGCCAGAGCCAUACACGAAAAAAAUCUGAAUUCAAAGAUUCAAUUCAACCUUCUUGUUCAUGGAAUGACGAACCUUAUUAUCGGAUAAACCUUACAGCUGAUGAGUCCUGUCCUGCCCAGCCCGUCUUUCAACUGAGGAAAGUCACCCUGAUGUGGAAUUAGUACAGGAAUUACCCACACUGGUUCAACUGAUGCCCCCGAGGCAAACUAUCUAUGCUGUAAGUCUGUAUAUAGAUUUUGUAGCCAUGGAUUAGAGGUGGGAGCACUGGGAUACAUCUUAUGCACCGACAUGGCAGCCAUUCUUCUUCUCUAAUACCAACAAAUAAUGGUGGGAUCUGAGAAUCCAAUCACAUCUAAUAGCCAGUGGUUUAAAAUCAUAUUCAUUCAGGAGUCCCCAGUCACAUCACUCAUGUAGGCCAGUGGGGUAACAAGAUAUAACUAGGCCCCACAGCAAUAAUAAAUAAUACUGCAGAGUCUGAAUUCAACGCGUAAAAUAAUAAAAUAUAAUAAAGCAAAUUAAUAAUCUUAUAUACAUUGCUUUAUUAUUUUUUAUUUUAGGCAUUGAAGUCACUUAUAUGUACUGAUACAGAUGGUUGGCAAGAUGGCGACCAUAUUCACAGUGUGGUUGGCACUGAAGGAUAUUCACGCCGGCGUUGUGAUGCCAAUCACGUAGAUACAGGCGCAGAUUUUUCUCCAGUUCUCGUGAGAUUACGCACGCACGUUGAUAUGUACCUGCUAAAUUACGCACACUGUAACCAAUACACGUUUUUUUUUCCCGUGA